CGGCUCCUGAGUGGAGCUGAAUGCGCAUGCACAGCAGGAGCCGCACGCGCAUUCAAACAGUCCAUAGGAAAGCAUUUAGCAAUGCUUUCCUAUGGACGUUCUGCACGCUGAAUGUGAUUUUCGCAUCCAGUGUCGCAGAAGCGCCUCUAGCGGCUGUCAGGAAGACAGCCACUAGAGGCUGGAUUAACCCUGCUAUGUAAACAUAGCAGUUUCUCUCCAUUGAGCUGAAGUGGUCUGGGUGACUAUAG